AUCCUCUGUAGUUCGUAAGCAUGAUAAUUGGGUUUUCACGCUCAUGUGUGUGACAUGCCUCCUUCAAACCUUGUUAUGACUUCAGCACGUUACCCAUCUGAUG
rnacentral:snoRNA from 1 species